GACGAACGCUGGCGGCGUGCUUAACACAUGCAAGUCGAACGGAAAGGCCCUUCGGGGUACUCGAGUGGCGAACGGGUGAGUAACACGUGGGUGAUCUGCCCUGCACUUUGGGAUAAGCCUGGGAAACUGGGUCUAAUACCGAAUAGGACCACGCGCUUCAUGGUGUGUGGUGGAAAGCUUUUGCGGUGUGGGAUGGGCCCGCGGCCUAUCAGCUUGUUGGUGGGGUAAUGGCCUACCAAGGCGACGACGGGUAGCCGGCCUGAGAGGGUGACCGGCCACACUGGGACUGGGAUACGGCCCAGACUCCUACGGGAGGCAGCAGUGGGGAAUAUUGCACAAUGGGCGCAAGCCUAAUGCAGCGACGCCGCGUGAGGGAUGACGGCCUUCGGGUUGUAAACCUCUUUCAAUAGGGACGAAGCGCAAGUGACGGUACCUAUAGAAGAAGCACCGGCCAACUACGUG
rnacentral:rRNA from 1 species